rnacentral:rRNA from 1 species
UACGUAGGGGGCAAGCGUUGUCCGGAAUUAUUGGGCGUAAAGAGCGUGUAGGCGGUCCGGUAAGUCGGCUGUGAAAGUCCAGGGCUCAACCCUGGGAUGCCGGUCGAUACUGCCGGACUAGAGUUCGGAAGAGGCGAGUGGAAUUCCCGAUGUAGCGGUGAAAUGCGCAGAUAUCGGGAGGAACACCUAUGGCGAAGGCAGCUCGCUGGGACGUUACUGACACUGAGGCGCGAAAGCGUGGGGAGCGAACAGG